rnacentral:rRNA from 1 species
GGAUCAUUAUUAAAUAGACCAAUUUGGCUUUGAGACUGUAGCUGACCCCAUCAUCCAUAUGGGGUGGGGGUAUGUGCACGUUUCUCUGCCUAUUUGUUUUUUCUCCCACCUGUGCACAAUAUGUAGACAACUUGGGAUUUGAGGGGUCGUUUUACAGUCUCCUUGACUAAUAAAAAUAUCCGAGUGUCUAUGUUACAUUUUAUACAUAUACGCAUUGCAUGUGGAUGAUGGAUUUAUUAAUGAAUAAAUAAUAACUUUCAACAAUGGAUCUCUUGGCUCUCGCAUCGAUGAAGAACGCAGCGAAAUGCGAUGAGUAAUGUGAAUUGCAGAAUUCAGUGAAUCAUCGAAUGUUUGAAUGCAUCUUGCGCUCCUUGGCAGUCCUUGGAGCAUGCCUGUUUGAGUGUCAUUAAAUUUCUCAAAAUUGCUGCAACAGUAAAUUUGUUGUGGGGGUGGUUUUGGAUAUGGGAUGUGCAGGCUUUUCUUAUAAGGCCCAGCUCUCCUCAAAUGUAUGAGCAGUAUCAGUUGGUUCUUGCUUGGUGUGGUAAGAAAAUAUCAGCACGAAAAGCAGAAAGGCACCAAUUUGUCUGUUGUGUUUACAUUAAUGUGACAAAAAUUGACCUCAAAUCAGGUAGGACU